UCUUUAGUUUGCCUCAACCAAAUGUUAUGAAACUUAUACACAAUGCUUAUUACCACAAAACACAGAUCAAGUUUGAAUUUUGGUGGCGUCACUUUUACCGUUCUAGAGUUAUGCCCCUUUACAAAUGGGAAAAUUGCUGAAUUUUUAUACGACCGCAAAAAAAUUUUGUGGUCGUAUAUUGGUAUGACGUUGGCGUCGUCGUCCGAAGACACAUUGGUUUUCGCACUCUAACUUUAGUUUAAGUGAAUAGAUCUCUAUGAUAUUUGGCCAUAAGGUUCAAUGCCACAGAAGAAAGGUUGGGAUUGAUUUUGGGGGUUAUGGAACCAACAGUCAAGGAAUUAGGGGCCAAAAAUAAGCAUUUUUGUAACUUCCAGACAUAAAUUGUGUGUUAGCGUAUGGAUCUCUCUGACAUUGUACCACAAGGUUCCAUAUCACAAAGGGAAUGCUUGGUUUGAUUUUGGGGAUAAUUGCCUCAAAAUUUUAGGAAUUAGGGGCCAAAAAAGGGGCAAAAAACAAGCAUUUUUCUAGUUUCAUGACAAUAACUUGUGUGUUAGUGUAUGGAUCUUUCUGAAAUUGUACUACAAGGUUCCAUAUCACAAAGGGAAAGCUGGAAUUGAGUUUAGGGGUAAUUGCCCAAAACGUUUAAAAAUAAGGGGCCAAAAAAGGGCCAAAAAUAAGCAAUUUUCUAGUUUCCAGAGAAUAACUUGUGUUCAAGUGUAUGGAUCUUUCUGAAAUUGUACUACAAGGUACCAUACCACAAAGGGAAGGCUGGGAUUGAUUUUUGGGGGGAAAUGCCUUAAAAUUUUAGGAAUUAGGGGCCAAAAAGGGGCAAAAAACAAGCAUUUUUCUAGUUCCAGGACAAUAACUUGUGUGUAAGUGUAUGGAUCUUUAUGAAAUUGUACUACAAGGUUCCAUAUCACAAAGGGAAAGCUGGGUUUGAGUUUGGGGGUAAUUGCCCUAAAUGUUUAGGAAUUUGAGGCCAAAAAGGGGCCAAAAAACAAGCAUUUUUCUAGUUUCCAGACAAUUUAUUGUGUUCAAGUGUAUGGAUCUCUCUGAAAUUGUACUGCAAGGUAACAUACCA